CACAGGACAACCUGAAGGCGGGGAAGAUCUCUCUAUUCUCUCUGUGGAGCAGCUGUUGGGCUUCUCAGAGGAGGAUCCAACUCAAGACUUCUUGCCACGGAACACAAGGUUGUCAUCGGAAAUGGCUGAAACAUCUCCUUUGUCUGGUGGAGCCGCAACAGCUCAGGGCUCUGUAUCCUUUGAGGACGUGGCUGUGUAUUUCACGGAGGAGGAGUGGGCUCUGUUGGAUUCUAGCCAGAGAGCCUUACACAGAGAAGUCAUGCUGGAGAAUUCUAGGAAUCUGGCUGCUCUGGGUAAGGG